CCUACGGGAGGCUGCAGUAGGGAAUCUUCCACAAUGGGCGAAAGCCUGAUGGAGCAACGCCGCGUGGGUGAAGAAGGUCUUCGGAUCGUAAAACCCUGUUGUUAGAGAAGAAAGUGCGUGAGAGUAACUGUUCACGUUUCGACGGUAUCUAACCAGAAAGCCACGGCUAACUACGUGCCAGCAGCCGCGGUAAUACGUAGGAUGCGAGCGUUAUCCGGAUUUAUUGGGUUUAAAGGGUGCGUAGGCGGGCAUUUAAGCCGGCGGUCAAAUGUCGGGGCUCAACCCCGGCCGGCCGUGGGAACGGGGUGCCUUGGGUGGGCGAGAAGUAUGCGGAAUGCGUGGUGUAGCGGUGAAAGGCUUAGAUAUCACGAAGAACCCCGAUUGCGAAGGCAGCUUACUAAACUGUGACUGACAUUGAUGCUCGAAAGUGGGGGUAUCAAACAGGAUUAGAACCCCAGUAGUC
rnacentral:rRNA from 1 species